CUAACUGCAGUCGAGCGGUCCCUUCGGGGAUAGCGGCGGACGGGUGAGUAACACGUAGGCAACCUGCCUGUAAGAUUGGGAUAACUAUCGGAAACGAUAGCUAAGACCGGAUAACUGGUUCUCUCGCAUGAGGGGAUCAUGAAACACGGGGUAACCUGUGGCUUACAGAUGGGCCUGCGGCGCAUUAGCUAGUUGGUAGGGUAACGGCCUACCAAGGCGACGAUGCGUAGCCGACCUGAGAGGGUGAUCGGCCACACUGGGACUGAGACACGGCCCAGACUCCUACGGGAGGCAGCAGUAGGGAAUCUUCCGCAAUGGACGCAAGUCUGACGGAGCAACGCCGCGUGAGUGAUGAAGGUUUUCGGAUCGUAAAGCUCUGUUGCCAGGGAAGAACGCUCAAGAGAGUAACUGCUCUUGAGGUGACGGUACCUGAGAAGAAAGCCCCGGCUAACUACGUGCCAGCAGCCGCGGUAAUACGUAGGGGGCAAGCGUUGUCCGGAAUUAUUGGGCGUAAAGCGCGCGCAGGCGGUCAUUUAAGUUUGGUGUUUAAGCCCGGGGCUCAACCCCGGAUCGCACUGAAAACUGGGUGACUUGAGUGCGGGAGAGGAAAGUGGAAUUCCACGUGUAGCGGUGAAAUGCGUAGAGAUGUGGAGGAACACCAGUGGCGAAGGCGACUUUCUGGACCGUAACUGACGCUGAGGCGCGAAAGCGUGGGGAGCAAACAGGAUUAGAUACCCUGGUAGUCCACGCCGUAAACGAUGAGUGCUAGGUGUUAGGGGUUUCGAUACCCUUGGUGCCCAAGUAAACACAGUAAGCACUCCGCCUGGGGAAUACGCUCGCAAG
rnacentral:rRNA from 1 species